GAUGAACGCUAGCGGGAGGCCUAACACAUGCAAGCCGAGCGGGAUUUGUUGGUUAGCUUGCUAACUAACAAUGAGAGCGGCGUACGGGUGCGUAGCACGUGUGCAACCUGCCUUUAUCUGGGGGAUAGCCUUUCGAAAGGAAGAUUAAUACCCCAUAACAUAUUGAUUGGCAUCAGUUAAUAUUGAAAGCUCCGGCGGAUAGAGAUGGGCACGCGUAAGAUUAGCUAGUUGGUGAGGUAACGGCUCACCAGGGCUGCGAUCUUUAGGGGGCCUGAGAGGGUGAUCCCCCACACUGGUACUGAGACACGGACCAGACUCCUACGGGAGGCAGCAGUGAGGAAUAUUGGACAAUGGGUGAGAGCCUGAUCCAGCCAUCCCGCGUGAAGGACUAAGGACCUAUGGUUUGUAAACUUCUUUUAUACAGGGAUAAACCUACUCUCGUGAGGGUAGCUGAAGGUACUGUAUGAAUAAGCACCGGCUAACUCCGUG
rnacentral:rRNA from 1 species